UAGUUUGAUUAUGGCUCAGGAUGAACGCUGGCGGUAUGCCUUAUACAUGCAAGUCGUACGAGAGUUUUUAGCUCAAGUGGCGGACGGGUGAGUAACACGUAAGAAUUUGCCUUUAGGAGGGGGACAACAACUGGAAACGGUUGCUAAUACCCCAUAUGCUUUCGAGUGAAAUGGUUUUUCCGCCUAAAGAGAAGCUUGCGGCUGAUUAGCUUGUUGGUAGAGUAAUAGCCUACCAAGGCGACGAUCAGUAUCUGGUUUGAGAGGACGAUCAGACACACUGGAACUGAGACACGGUCCAGACUCCUACGGGAGGCAGCAGUAGGGAAUUUUCCGCAAUGGGCGAAAGCCUGACGGAGCAAUACCGCGUGAGGGAUGACUGCCUAUGGGUUGUAAACCUCUUUUUUCAGGGAGGAAUAAAUGACGUGUACCUGAAGAAUAAGCAUCGGCUAACUCCGUGCCAGCAGCCGCGGUAAGACGGAGGAUGCAAGUGUUAUCCGGAAUCACUGGGCGUAAAGCGUCUGUAGGUGGUCAAAUAAGUCAACUGUUAAAUCUUGGGGCUCAACCUCAAAAUCGCAGUCGAAACUAUUAGGCUAGAGUAUAGUAGAGGUAAAGGGAAUUUCCAGUGGAGCGGUGAAAUGCGUAGAGAUUGGAAAGAACGCCGAUGGCGAAGGCACUUUACUGGGCUAUUACUGACACUCAGAGACGAAAGCUAGGGUAGCAAAUGGGAUUAGAUACCCCAGUAGUCCUAGCCGUAAACAAUGGAUACUAGGUGUUGAACAGAUCGAUCUGUGCAGUACUAAAGCUAACGCGUUAAGUAUCCCGCCUGGGAAGUAUGCACGCAAGUGUGAAACUCAAAGGAAUUGACGGGGGCCCGCACAAGCGGUGGAGCAUGUGGUUUAAUUCGAUGCAACGCGAAGAACCUUACCAGGGUUUGACAUGAUACGAAUUUCUUUGAAAAAAGA
rnacentral:rRNA from 1 species